UACAGAGGUCCCAAGCGUUGUUCGGAAUUACUGGGCGUAAAGGGCUCGUAGGUGGCCAACUAAGUCAGACGUGAAAUCCCUCGGCUUAACCGGGGAACUGCGUCUGAUACUGGAUGGCUUGAGUUUGGGAGAGGGAUGCGGAAUUCCAGGUGUAGCGGUGAAAUGCGUAGAUAUCUGGAGGAACACCGGUGGCGAAGGCGGCAUCCUGGACCAAUACUGACACUGAGGAGCGAAAGCCAGGGGAGCAAACGGG
rnacentral:rRNA from 1 species